GGAGAUGUAGCUUAAUGGCAGAGCAUUUGCCCUUGGGUUCAAUCCCUAGUAUCUUCA
rnacentral:tRNA from 1 species